rnacentral:rRNA from 1 species
UACACUCCUGCGGGAGGCAGCAGUGGGGAAUAUUGCACAAUGGGCGCAAGCCUGAUGCAGCCAUGCCGCGUGUAUGAAGAAGGCCUUCGGGUUGUAAAGUACUUUCAGUGGGGAGGAAGGCAAUACGGUUAAUAACCGUGUUGAUUGACGUUACCCGCAGAAGAAGCACCGGCUAACUCCGUGCCAGCAGCCGCGGUAAUACGGAGGGUGCAAGCGUUAAUCGGAAUUACUGGGCGUAAAGCGCACGCAGGCGGUCUGUCAAGUCGGAUGUGAAAUCCCCGGGCUCAACCUGGGAACUGCAUUCGAAACUGGCAGGCUUGAGUCUUGUAGAGGGGGGUAGAAUUCCAGGUGUAGCGGUGAAAUGCGUAGAGAUCUGGAGGAAUACCGGUGGCGAAGGCGGCCCCCUGGACAAAGACUGACGCUCAGGUGCGAAAGCGUGGGGAGCAAACAGGAUUAGAAACCCCUGUAGUCCCAUGAU